CCCCAGACUCCUACGGGAGGCAGCAGUGGGGAAUAUUGCACAAUGGGGGAAACCCUGAUGCAGCGACGCCGCGUGAGUGAAGAAGUAUUACGGUAUGUAAAGCUCUAUCAGCAGGGAAGAAAAUGACGGUACCUGACUAAGAAGCCCCGGCUAACUACGUGCCAGCAGCCGCGGUAAUACGUAGGGGGCAAGCGUUAUCCGGAUUUACUGGGUGUAAAGGGAGCGUAGACGGCAUGGCAAGUCAGAUGUGAAAGCCCGGGGCUCAACCCCGGGACUGCAUUUGAAACUGUCAGGCUGGAGUGCAGGAGAGGUAAGUGGAAUUCCUAGUGUAGCGGUGAAAUGCGUAGAUAUUAGGAGGAACACCAGUGGCGAAGGCGGCUUACUGGACUGUAACUGACGUUGAGGCUCGAAAGCGUGGGGAGCAAACAGGAUUAGAUACCCCUGUAC
rnacentral:rRNA from 1 species